AAAACUAGAACGUCAAAUUAAUCUAUGACCUUGAGAUCAAUUUCAAGGUCAUAAACCAAGGACCUCAAAUCAAAAGACCAUAGGACUUAAUUAUAUUUGGUUAAUCAGUUAUAUCACUAUACACGUAUUUUUAAAUACAAGAGGGGAGAAAACUCACUUUUACGUUCAACGUACCCUUGCAAUCAAAAUUUACGUGUUACGACAUGUCGCAACUAACAAUUUAGAAAAAAUAAUUUGUCGAUAUCUUAUACAGUUUCUGGAAAUUAGUGGAAAUAAGCCAAAUUCAAAAAUUGGAAUAUGACCUUGACCUUUGACCUUGACCUAAUUUUUAUUUUUUUGGACCAAGGACCUCAAAUCAAAAGAUCCUUGGUCUUUAGCACUUAUGGUUUACAAGAUAGGAAUGCAUAUCACUUAUAUCAAAUGCAUAAGGGGAAAUAACUCUCAUAUGGAGCGUUCAUAUCACUUCGGUCAAAAUAGGACAAAUCAUGCGAAGGAUAUAACGAGCAAUUUUUAAAAUAAAUUUGUCAUAAUAUUUUACGGUUGCGAAGGAGAUGCGCUAACAAGGAAAACAGUGUUUGGGGAGAUAACUCCUACAAAGAAAAGUAUUCGUUUACGCAGGGUAAAUUUCAAAAGCGCAUAAACUGUUCGAUAUCAUAUACCAAAUAUCUAAGCGACAUAUUGCGAAACAAAUGUUUAUCGCAAGAACAAAAUUAGGCGGAAGAAA
rnacentral:lncRNA from 1 species